rnacentral:rRNA from 1 species
UUCCGGUUGAUCCUGCCGGAGGUUACCGCUCUGGGAGUCGGAUUAAGCCAUGCUAGCGGAGGGCAGUUCGGCUGCCCCGCGAAAAGCUCAUUAACACGUGGUCAAUCUCCCCUUAGGAUCGAGAUAACCCCGGGAAACUGGGGAUAAUCUCGAAUAGGCGGGGGUUCUGGAAAAGUCCCUCGCUGAAACGUUCCGACGCCUAAUGAUGAGACUGCGGCCUAUUAGGUUGUUGGUGAGGUAAAGGCUCACCAAGCCACAGAUGGGUACGGGCCCUGAGAGGGGGAGCCCGGAGAUGGAGACUGAGACAAGGCUCCAGGCCCUACGGGGCGCAGCAGGUGCGAAAAUUCUGCAAUGUGUGAAAGCACGACAGAGUGACUCCCAGUGCCGAUGGUCUAUCGACCGUCGGCUUUUCUGGAAUGUAAAAAGUUUCAGGUAAUAAUGGCCGGGUAAGACUGGUGCCAGCCGCCGCGGUAACACCAGCGGCCCGAGUGGUAACCGAU